GUUUAAUUUAAUAGCAUAGCUCUUAUUUGUUAGUAACUAUAACGGUUCUUAAAAGAACAGACUACGUUUUUUAUCUUUUGGUAUAAAUGUAUACUUUUGUAAAUAUGUUGGCUUUAAAAGAGCCUGAUUUUUUUCUUUGGUCCUCUGCCUUUUCUUUUUCAUCGCCCCAUACAACAGACAUACCCCACAGUUAACCCGUUUUCUUCUGCUCGGUUAACCCUUUUUCUUCCAUCUCGACUGCUUCCGAGACUGUCUCUGCGGGGUUUUUUCCGUAUGCCUCUUCAAAGGCAAGGACAAUAUCGGGACGUGUCUUCAACGCAUAUUCAUAGAAUGCUCGGUAACACGCCAGCUCCGCUUUUCUUCUCUCCCGGAAUCUUUUGAACCGGUCCACUCUUUGUCCUCUCUUCAUGACCAUGAUGGCUGCCAAAGUGCCAAUACUGCCAAACUUACAAACUAAAAUAGUAAAAUGUGCUGCCACAAACCACACACAAACCUAUUAAUUCAAUCCAACAAGAAGACUGUGUCGCCAAAAACAUGGCGGAUUUUCGCGCCAUGAAAUUACCACUGACCAGGCUCAAUGUUGAGCCCGCUACAAUUUUCACCACCCCCUGAUUUUUUAGCAAAAAUAUUUUAUUAUUUUUGCAGUUUAAAGUUUUUUCAGUAAAAUUCUCGGUUUUUUUUAUAUUUUUUGGUAUAUUAUUUCGACAUAUAAAUCAUAUUGCAUAAUACUGGGUAGAGGGCGGGAAAGGGUAUUUUCGUGAGCCGUGAAUGGUGAAUAUUUGUUCGUGUGAAAUGUGAAAUGCUUGAUUUUAGUGUCGUGAAAUGUGAUUUGUUCUACAGCCGUGAGGCGUGAUUGUUGAUAAAAAUGCUCCGUG